UUGAACGCUGGCGGCAGGCCUAACACAUGCAAGUCGAGCGGUAACAGAAAGUAGCUUGCUACUUUGCUGACGAGCGGCGGACGGGUGAGUAAUGCUUGGGAACAUGCCUUGAGGUGGGGGACAACAGUUGGAAACGACUGCUAAUACCGCAUAAUGUCUACGGACCAAAGGGGGCUUCGGCUCUCGCCUUUAGAUUGGCCAAAGUGGGAUUAGCUAGUUGGUGAGGUAAUGGCUCACCAAGGCAACGAUCCCUAGCUGGUUUGAGAGGAUGAUCAGCCACACUGGAACUGAGACACGGUCCAGACUCCUACGGGAGGCAGCAGUGGGGAAUAUUGCACAAUGGGCGCAAGCCUGAUGCAGCCAUGCCGCGUGUGUGAAGAAGGCCUUCGGGUUGUAAAGCACUUUCAGUCAGGAGGAAAGGUUAGUAGUUAAUACCUGCUAGCUGUGACGUUACUGACAGAAGAAGCACCGGCUAACUCCGUGCCAGCAGCCGCGGUAAUAC
rnacentral:rRNA from 1 species